rnacentral:misc_RNA from 1 species
GAUGAAGAACGUAGCAAAAUGCGAUAAGUAAUGUGAAUUGCAGAAUUCAGUGAAUCAUCGAAUCUUUGAACGCACAUUGCGCCCGCUGGUAUUCCGGCGGGCAUGCCUGUUCGAGCGUCAUUUCAACCCUCAAGCCCCCGGGUUUGGUAUUGGGGAUCGGCUCUGCCCUUCUGGGCGGUGCCGCCCCCGAAAUACAUUGGCGGUCUCGCUGCAGCCUCCAUUGCGUAGUAGCUAACACCUCGCAACUGGAACGCGGCGCGGCCAUGCCGUAAAACCCCAACUUCUGAAUGUUGACCUCGGAUCAGGUAGGAAUACCCGCUGAACUUAAGCAUAUCAAUAAGCGGAGGA